AUGUUUUCUACAGGGACUGAAGUCUUUUAUUUCUGUGCCCAACAAUUCAAGGAAUAGUUUGCUCUUAUUUUCUUGUUGUCUUAAAUUUUAGUGACCAAUUUUUAAGCACAAAAAUCAGUGAUCAUUUAAGAAUUACUAUUUUAUUAAACAAAUAAUUUUAUCUACUGAAUCUUUCUUCUUACAACUGUUUCCCCUCUUCUGGGUUAACUUUUCUUCUUCCUGAAGAAUGUAGUUCUUCCAGUGAAGGUAUCAUGAGGACUUCUUUGUCCCAGGAGGUGCAGAGAAGUAUGUUUUUAAAUUUCCAAAUGUAAGGGAUUUUUGAAGUUGUCUUUUUUUUUCCUGCCAUAAUUACAUAAAGAUUACAUAAAAGAAGACUGCCUCCUUGAGAGUAAAUCUUUGAAUUUUUUGAGACUAGCUUUAUGGCCCAGAGGAUCAAUAUGUACAAAACUACCAGCUGAAUUUGAACGUGGUAUUUUAGGAUUAAACACAGUACUCCAUAUUCGCUUAUCAUUUUAAACUGAGUCAAAAAUUGUUUAAACAUUCAAUUAUUUUACUAGAUUUUGUUUCUGUUUCAGUUACUGACAAUGGGUAGUAAAGACUUUCAUGGUAGAUAUAUCCAUUUCUUCUUAUAGCUCUGAUAUGCUUGCUGGGUGUAUUAUUUUGCAUGUGUUUUUGUUUUCUACAUACACAUUUGAAGUUGCUUUUUAUUAUUCCGAUAAAUUAAAUCUUGUUUUCAAUGCUAUGGUUUUUUUCUGGUAAUGUUUUUUUUUGCCUAAAUUUGUAUUUUGUCUGACCUUAAUAUAAGUAUACAUCAGCUCUGUUGGUUAGCAUUUAUUUGUGAUGAUACUUCCACAGUUCACUUUCAACCUUUCUAUAUCCUCAUGGACAAAGAAUCCAAUUUACGUAUUAUUUCUACUGCCCUAGUGUAGUCAUCCCAUUUGUGUGCUCAGGGAGAGUGGGUGAUUGAACUUUAUACUUUAGCCAGGAUUCUAUUAUUACCUGGCCCUGUGAGCUCCUGCACUGGUGGAGGUGGCCAUGGUGAAGCUGUGGGUGUCUGCUCAGAUCCUGUGUCUCAUAAUCUUCAAAAUGUUUGCGUAUUUCCCUUUACCCAAUGUACAGCCAGCUGAGUGAUGGCUGCAGGUUCCUUUGGGGAAGGACUAAGGGAAUCAUUACAGUAUAUACUUGCCACAGUGUUUCAGGGUUCUUCCUCACAGGGUUCAUUCAUCCCUUUGGGCUCUGGAUCCAAAAUUGGGUCACUUCUAGCAACUGAGCAAGGGAUCUUGACUUUUUAUUGCAGCCACUACCCCUCUCCUCCUAGUCCUCUUUUCCUGUCCUUUUCUUUGUUGUAGAUGUCAAGCGGUGCCCUUGUUUUCCCCCUGAGGAUUCCAUGAUCUAUUAACCAUCUCCACCCUCCAUGCAGGUCAAGAUUCCUUAUCUGCAUCUUGCCUUGCCUGUUACCAUGGUAAUUAUGGUCCCCAGGCUUCUGGACAUUGAGCCUGACCAUUUGGCCUCUGUUCCUUCAGGGGUCUAUUAUCUCCAUGAAUUUUAAUGGGUUCAAGGUGUGACCCCAUUCUCCUGUCUUUCCCAACCUACAAGAGAAGAGCCCCAUCUGAACUGUUCAGUGAUGCCAGUGCGCCUGUUACUAGUGCCUUGUCCUCCCAUGGAAAAAUCCUUUGCUCACUUUUUUUGACACAUGCAGUAUAUAUGGACAUGCUCUCUGCUCUCAGCCUCUUUAUUCUCUUCUCUGCCUUUUGCCAGGGCAGCUCACCAUGUCUGCUUUUCUCUGCAUUGGCCAUCACUCACCCUAGGCCUAGAAGAACCACUGCCUGAUUCCUGCCACUGCAUGAAAGCUUUCUUACAGCUUCUUGAUUGUAUAAUCUCUUUUUUCUCUUCUCAGGUCUAUCACUUCUCUAGCUGGGUUGUGCUGGGAUGUCACCUUAAUUAUUAUACUAGCAGCCAAGGGAGGAGCCAAGGCAGCUUCUGAGGGCACCAUUUUAUUUUAUUUUAUUAUUUUAUUUUAUUUUAUUUUAUUUAUUUUUUGCUUUUGCAGUGUCUUCUAGCAUAGGGAAGUGCUGGGAAGAGUGGGAUACUUCUUCAAACUUUAAAGAGUUUUAAGGAUCUGUAGAGGUAACCAUCAGAUGUCUCCAUCCCUUGUUUUAGGAUGCAGGUUUUCCCAGCCAGGGCUCUGACUUUAGCUUAGCAGACCUGGUUUCUCUGAGUACUGAACUGUCUCUGGAGCUCUGCAACUCUAAUUCUUAGGUCUUCUUUCAGUUGCUUGGCUGUGUCUAUCAUUUCAUUGCAGGAGAAAAUGGCCUCUUUCUAAGCUACCCAGCAGGCUGUCUAGCAGUCUUUAACUGCUUAUUAAUGCCCUCUUUCUUUCCUUAUCCCUCCGUAGGGUGUCCAUCCAACUUUUUUUUUUUUUAAUUCAAGUUAGUUGACGUACAGUGUAGUCAUGCUUCAGGAGUAGCACCCAGUGAUUCAUCUCUUACAUAUGACACCUAGUACUCAUCCCAGAAAGUGCCCUCCUUACUGCCCAUCACCUAUUUAACCCAUCCUUCCACCCACCUCCCCUACAGCAACCCUGUGUUUGUUCUCUGUAUUUGAGUCUCUUAUCAUUUGCCUCCCUCUCUGUUUUUAUCUCACUUAACAGUAGUCAGCCACCUUCUGUGUGCUAUUGUUCUCACCAUAUAAUCAUCGUAUAAUCAAUAGCUUGAAUCAUCACACCUGUGAAGACACUCCCACACCAGGGCAUUUUCUUAGGCUAACUGUGGCGAUAAUCUUUGCAACUCAUGGCCUUCACUGCAUCAGGAUCUGUCUGUGCCCCACAUACCACUCAGGACAGUGGCAUGGUGAGUGAACCUAUCCCAGAACCUCAUCUCACUGCUUGUUUUCUCAGGCAAUUUGUAGCCCUACUUAUGUUAUUUCAGGUUCUCUAAUAACCUGAAUCAGGUACUAAGACUAGAUUUAUUGGGAAAACUAGGAAGGGAGCCAGAAGAAGCUGGGACAGCUGUUAGACACGGAUGUAGGUCCAACCCUCAUGGAGGAGAGGGAAGGAAGAAAACAUGGAUCAGGAAAGUCCGAGGCUGCAGUGCAGUUACAAGAAAGUUUUGGCAAAGCCAAUAGAGUUCUUCAGCCAGUUGCCCUUUAGAGGAGUCUUGUAUCCUAGGAUUGCACCUGCAUCAAUAUCUCUGUCCUGCCUACUCACUAGCUGGGGGCAACUGUUGGACCUCUCUGCAAGUAAAGUGAUUGCCUUGAGAGCAUGCAUCUGAGGGCCCUUGGUCAUUUUCAUUCUCUGUAGUUGGAUAUCAGGGAGAUUUGAAAAAUGUAUACUUAGGGCAGCCAUAGAAACAAUACAUUUUAUUUCUCUUAUUUUUAAUGAUUUCCUUUAAAUUAAAAAAUAUUAAUUUGUUUAAUAUUGUUACUUCUUUUCAAAAUAGCAUAACAACCUUCAAAUUAUUUCUUUUCUUACCACCAUCUCACAAGUUGUUGAUCAAUUAUUUUAGGUCUUUUGUGUGUGUGUGUGCGUGUGUGUGUGUAUACGAUGUGACAUCUGUGCUAAGGUUCUUUGUUUUUUGGAUCUUUUGGUCAUAUAUAUGUUCAAUUGUUCCUGCACCAUUUGUUAAAAAGACUAGAUUUUCUCCACUGAGUUGACUUUGUUUCUCUGUAAAAAAUCUGUCGACUAUAUUUAUGUGAGUCUACUUCUGGGUGCUUUGUUCUAUUUCAUUGAUAUAUGUGCCCACUCUUUGACUGAUACCAGGCUGUCUUGGUUACAGUAGCUUUAUAGUAAGUUCCUGAAAUUGGAGAGUAUGGGGGUCUUCAACUUUUUUUCCUUCAAAAUAUAAUAUAUAUAUUAUACAUACAUAAUAUAUAUAUAUUUAAUUCAAAGUUUAAUUGUUUAGUGCUGUUGGCAUUGGAAAUAAUAGGAAAGCAAUUGAGUUUUGCAUAUAUUGACCUAUAUCCUUCAACUGUGCUAUACUUGUUUAUUUCAUGAAGUUAUUUUGUAGAUUCUUUGGCAUUUUCUAUAUAGAUAUAUUCAUCUGGAAAUAAAGAGAGUUUUAUAUCUUCUUCCACUAUCUGUAUACCUUUUAUUUCCUUUUCUUGUCUUAUUGCAUUAGCUAGGACUUCCAGUACAAUGUUAAAUAGGAGUGAUAGGACAUCCUUGCUCUAUUCCCAAACUUAAUAAGGGAUUAGUCUUUGGUAUCUGGGUGGCUCAGUCAUUAAGCAUCUGACUUUGGCUCAUGUCGUGAUCUCAUGGUAUCAUUAUUACUACAUCAGGUGAGUUUGAGCCCCAUUUUGGGUGAACAUGAGCCCCACUUCAGGUGAGUCCCACUUCUCUCUCUCUCUCUCUCUCUCUCUCUCUCUCUCUCUCUCUUUCUGCCCCUCACUCACUUGUGCCCUCUCUCAGAAAAAAAAAAGGCAUUAGUCUUUUCACAUUAAGUAUGAUGUUAGCUGUAGAGUGUGUUUGUAGAUGUUCCAUAUCAAUUUGAGGAAGUUCUUUAUUCCUAGUUUUCUGAGAAUUUUAUUACAAAUGAUGUUAGAUAUUUUUCAAAUGCUUUCUCUACAUCAUGUUAUAUCAUAGAUUUUUUUAAACUUGUUGAUGUGAUAGAUUACAUGAUUUGAUUUGAAUCUUGAACACACUUUGCAUAAUUGGAAUAAAUUUUACUUGGUCAUGGUGUAUACUUCUUCUUAUUCAUGUUGAACUCUAUUUGAUAAUAUUGUAUUGAGGACUUUUGCCUCUGUUCAAGAGAUAUUGGCCUAUAGUUUUGUUUCUUGUGAUGGCUCCUUCUUGUUUUUGGUAUUAGAUUAAUGCUGGCUUCAUAGAAUGAGUUAGCAAUUGGUUCUUCUGCUUCUACUUUCUGGAAGAUACUGCAGAAAAUUGCUAUCAUUUUUUUUUUCUUUAAAUGUUUGAUAGAAUUUACCAGGGAAGCCACCUGGACCUGGUGGUUCCUUUUUUAAAAGGUUAUUAAAUAUUGAUUUAAUUUCUUUAGUAGAUAUAUAUGCCUUCAGAUUAUCUAUUUCUCCUUAUGAGAGUUUUGGUAGUUGUGUCUUUCAAAGAACUGAUCCAUUUUAUUUAAGGUAUCAAAUUUGUGGGCAUAGAAUUGCUCAUAAUAUUCCUUUAAAUGUACAUAAGAUUGGUAGUGAUAACUCCUUUUUCAUAGUUUUUAUUUACUAAUUUGUGUCUUUUCCUUUGCCUGGGUAGAAGUUAAUCAAUUUCAUUGAUCUUUUUUAAAAAAAGAAAGGAAAUUUAAAACAACAACUUUUGGAUUUAUUUUCUUUAUUGUUUUCUUGAUUUCAAGUUCAUUGAUUUCUGUUCUAAUUUUUAUUAUUUCUUUUCUUUUGCUUGCUUUGGGCUUAAAUUACACUUUCUCCUGUAGUUUUCUAAGGUGGAAUCUUAUGUCAUCGAUCUUCGAACUUUCUUUUUUUCUUUUUUUUUUAAACCAAUAGUCAGAUGCUUUAAAAAAUUUUUUUUAAUGUUUAUUUUUGAGAGACAGAGAUAGAGCACGAGUGGAGGAGGGGCAGAGAGAGAGAGAGAGAGAGAGAGAGGAAGACAUAGAAUCUGAAGCAGGCUCCAGGCUCUGAGCUGUCUGCACAGAGAUCGACGCAGGGCUCCAACCCAGAAACCGUAAGAUCAUGACCUGACCCGAAGUUGGACUCUUAACCAUCUGAGCCACCCAGGCACCCCAAACUUUCUUCUUUUCUAAUACGAACAUGUAGUGCUAUAAAUUUUCAUUUUACUUUCUAUUUUAACUGCAUCCCAUAAAUUUUGGUAUGUUGUAUUAUCAGUUCAAAACAUUUUCCAAUUUCCCUUGAAACAUUCUCUUUAAUCUAUGAAUUAUUUAGAAGUAAUCUGAAGAUUUCCCUGUUAUCAUUCAGUUACUGACUUCUAAUUUAAUUUCCUUGUGGUCAGAGCACAUACUUGGUAUGAUUUCAAUUUCUGUUUCUCCUUUUUUUAACGGUCAAUAAUUAUGAGACAACAUAGGAGUUUUAUGUAAAUUAAAACUGACGUCGGUAUAUCAAUAUCCUGAUGACAGGAGGCUAAUGCCAGAGUGGGGUAACCACCUUUACCUGUCCCUCUUUACUCAUCUAUGCAGUUUAUCUCCCUUCAUUCAAAAGAAACUUUGCAGUAGCUCCUGCCAAGAGAAUUCCUCUCACUUUUAUGUUACUAAUGUUAACUUCUUAGCUUUGACAAAUGUAUUGUGAUUGUAUAAGAAGUUAAUUUUAGAAGAGGCUGGGGAAAGGCUAUAUGGGGAGUCUGUAUAUUAUCUUUUCAACUUUCUAUAAAUCUAAAGUUAAUCUAAAGUAAGGUGACGAAUGAAAUAGGUGAUCCAAAGCUCCCAUAAUUGAGUUUCAUGAAGGCAAAAUGGAAAUAUUCUAUUUUAUUCCAUUUGCAUAGGUCACUGUAAGGAGUAAAAGAAAGGCUCUGUUAACAACUUCUCAGUUUCAAAUGAAAGUAAGCAAGAUAGUAGUGGAUAUUUAAGGACAUGAUGAUAAAAAUGGCUAAAAGUCAUAGGUUUUUAUUGGGGACCACUGAGAGGAGAAAGAUGGAAGGGCAGUCUCUGAAACCUGAUUUCAAAAUGAGUGAGGACACAGAAUUAAAUUAUAAAGCAACUAUGCAUAAGUAAUGGUGUCUCUCAAGGAGUCUGCGUGGCUAAGAGGAAUAUUUUUGAAUGGAAAAAUCUGUAUGUACUUUCAGAAUCAGGAGAAAAAGCUGAUCAUAAUAAGAGAGAUAUUAAAUGCUGGAAAUAGGAAACAAUGGAGUGGAUACCUUCCUAGAGGUAAUAGUUGUAGGUAGGAUAAAAACCAUGCAGGUAAAGAACUUUGUCUUUUUAAAAAAUGUUUAUUCAUUUUGGGGCGCCUGGGUGGCGCAGUCGGUUAAGCGUCCGACUUCAGCCAGGUCACGAUCUCGCGGUCCGUGAGUUCGAGCCCCGCGUCAGGCUCUGGGCUGAUGGCUCAGAGCCUGGAGCCUGUUUCCGAUUCUGUGUCUCCCUCUCUCUCUGCCCCUCCCCCGUUCAUGCUGUCUCUCUCUGUCCCAAAAAUAAAUAAAUGUUGAAAAAAAAAUUAAAAAAAAA